CAGGGUGUAGCUCAGUUGGUAGAGCGCUCGUUUCGGGUGCGAGAGGUUUCGGCAGUUCAAAUCUGCCCACCCUGA
rnacentral:tRNA from 4 species